AUUGAACGCUGGCGGCAGGCCUAACACAUGCAAGUCGAGCGGAUGAAGGGAGCUUGCUCCUGGAUUCAGCGGCGGACGGGUGAGUAAUGCCUAGGAAUCUGCCUGGUAGUGGGGGAUAACGUCCGGAAACGGGCGCUAAUACCGCAUACGUCCUGAGGGAGAAAGUGGGGGAUCUUCGGACCUCACGCUAUCAGAUGAGCCUAGGUCGGAUUAGCUAGUUGGUGGGGUAAAGGCCUACCAAGGCGACGAUCCGUAACUGGUCUGAGAGGAUGAUCUGUCACACUGGAACUGAGACACGGUCCAGACUCCUACGGGAGGCAGCAGUGGGGAAUAUUGGACAAUGGGCGAAAGCCUGAUCCAGCCACGCCGCGUGUGUGAAGAAGGUCUUCGGAUUGUAAAGCACUUUAAGUUGGGAGGAAGGGCAGUAAGUUAAUACCUUGCUGUUUUGACGUUACCAACAGAAUAAGCACCGGCUAACUUCGUG
rnacentral:rRNA from 1 species